rnacentral:rRNA from 1 species
UACAGAGGGUGCAAGCGUUUGUUCGGAAUCAUUGGGCGUAAAGCGCGCGUAGGCGCCCAACAAGUCUAAUGUGAAAUCCCUGGGCUCAACUCAGGAAGUGCAUUGGAUACUGUUGGGCUUGAGUCCUGGAGAGGGUGGUAGAAUUCCCAGUGUAGAGGUGAAAUUCGUAGAUAUUGGGAGGAAUACCAGUGGCGAAGGCGACCACCUGGACGGAGACUGACGCUGAGGCGCGAAAGCGUGGGGGAGCAAACAGG